UACGGAGGGGACUAGCGUUGUUCGGAAUUACUGGGCGUCAAGCGCACGUAGGCGGAUUUGUAAGUCAGGGGUGAAAUCCCGGGGCUCAACCUCGGAACUGCCUUUGAUACUGCAAAUCUCGAGUCCGGAAGAGGUGAGUGGAAUUCCUAGUGUAGAGGUGAAAUUCGUAGAUAUUAGGAAGAACACCAGUGGCGAAGGCGGCUCACUGGUCCGGUACUGACGCUGAGGUGCGAAAGCGUGGGGAGCAAACAGG
rnacentral:rRNA from 1 species